rnacentral:rRNA from 1 species
AUGAACGCUGGCGGCGUGCCUAAUACAUGCAAGUCGAGCGAACAGACGAGGAGCUUGCUCCUCUGACGUUAGCGGCGGACGGGUGAGUAACACGUGGAUAACCUACCUAUAAGACUGGGAUAACUUCGGGAAACCGGAGCUAAUACCGGAUAAUAUAUUGAACCGCAUGGUUCAAUAGUGAAAGACGGUUUUGCUGUCACUUAUAGAUGGAUCCGCGCCGCAUUAGCUAGUUGGUAAGGUAACGGCUUACCAAGGCGACGAUGCGUAGCCGACCUGAGAGGGUGAUCGGCCACACUGGAACUGAGACACGGUCCAGACUCCUACGGGAGGCAGCAGUAGGGAAUCUUCCGCAAUGGGCGAAAGCCUGACGGAGCAACGCCGCGUGAGUGAUGAAGGUCUUCGGAUCGUAAAACUCUGUUAUUAGGGAAGAACAAAUGUGUAAGUAACUGUGCACGUCUUGACGGUACCUAAUCAGAAAGCCACGGCUAACUACGUG